CCCUGUAAUCACAACAAAUUUCUGUAAGGAUCAAUAAAGCAGUCUUAGUCUUAGUCUUAACAUUUAAAGUUUCAUUGUUAAUAGCUGUCCGCCACAGUGGAGUCUCCCACUAGAUACAAGCUUGUUCAGUAACAAACUCCACAUCAUCCACUGAAUAGCCAGAUUGAAAAGACUUGACCCGACCAUCAGACAGUCACGAUGUCUCAGUAUACGAUCAUAUCGGCCUCUAUAUAUUAACUUGAUGACACGUAGCGCCCUUUAUACUACACUACUUGUAACGGUACCAGAUUUAGUGGUUUGAGAGUCCCCGCAUCACCAGAAAUGUCAUCACAUCUUAGCUUAACACGUGACCAGCUGCUAUCAGACGUAGUUAGGCUGGAAAUAGGAGACAAAUGACCCUGCUACUCCCACCAAACCCACCUCUUAUCACCAAAGCAUGUUUUGCCAUGACUUAUCGACUGCUAUACAAACAGCAGCCUCCAGUCACAUAGGUAGAUAUCCCCCCUCCCCCAAUAUCCAAGCCUGCACCUGCUGACCCCAGGCCAUGUUCUUACAAUGUUUCCUACACUCGAUGAACUGUGCUCCAAAACAUACAAAGACAAAAUACGCGAAUAACUGUCAUAAUCUGUCAAACUCAAUUCACACUGAAGAAGAGAAUUAAGUUUGUUUUUGAAUAGCGCAUCGUCCCUGCUUACAGCAUGCUCAGUGCGUUAGGGAAUCUCUCUUGUAGUGGAGGGGUAUCUAGGAGGUAUCAGUGCGCUAGGGAAUCUCUCUUGCAGUGGAGGGGGUAUCUAGGAGGUAUCAGUGCGCUAGGGAAUCUCUCUUGUAGUGGAGGAGGUAUCUAGGAGGUAUCAGUGCGCUAGGGAAUCUCUCUUGUAGUGGAGGAGGUAUCUAGGAGGUAUCAGUGCGCUAGAGAAUCUCUCUUGUAGUGGAGGGGGUAUCUAGGAGGUAUCAAUGCGCUAGAGAAUCUCUCUUGUAGUGGAGGGGGUAUCUAGGAGGUAUCAAUGCGCUAUGGAAUCUCUCUUUAGUGGAGGGGGUAUCUAGGAGGUAUCAAUGCGCUAUGGAAUCUCUCUUGUAGUGGAGGGGGUAUCUAGGAGGUAUCAAUGCGCUAGGGAAUGUCUCUUGUAGUGGAGGGGGUAUCUAGGAGGUAUCACUGCGCUAGGGAAUCUCUCUUGUAGUGGAGGGGGUAUCUAGGAGGUAUCAAUGCGCUAGAGGAUCUCUCUUGUAGUGGAGGGGGUAUCUAGGAGGUAUCAAUGCGCUAUGGAAUCUCUCUUGUAGUGGAGAGGGUAUCUAGGAGGUAUCAAUGCGCUAUGGAAUCUCUCUUAUAGUGGAGGUUGUAAGGUAUCAGUGCUGCUGAGUCAGGAUUCAAACUCUAGUCCCCAAGUCGAUGUUGGGCUCUCAGCCACACACCCCACAAGCAAAUAAUUACACCUAAUCCCCGGAGAGUAUCUGACAUAUGGGAUCCAAACUUAAGUGACCGAAACCCUUUGAGUGACCGAAACCCUUUGAGUGACCGAAACCCCUCAAGUCACGCAAACCCAAUCAGAAGAUAAAACGAGGUCAUAACAAUAGUAACAGUAACAUUAAUGAUAAGUAAUUCGCCUCAUUACAGAUACUGGCCACAAGAGGGCCUCGAGUCAUCCGAAUACAUGGUUUACCGAGAUAGACCUAUUUUG
rnacentral:sRNA from 1 species